CGAGGGUAUUAAGAAAACAUUCCUGUUUGAGGGGAAUCGCAAUCCUAGCCCUAGUGCGGCCUCUACUAGCUCUUUUUUUUCACAAUUUCAUUGUCAAACAAUAUAUGCAACGUGAGACCUAAAACUAAGGGUGUGUUUGGCAUCAUUGUUGUUUUUGAUUUUUUUUUUUUUUGUUUUUAACCCCCAAAAUAUAACAAAACAACGUUUGGUAAAAUAGCUUUAAAAAAACAACUUUACAACUAUUUUGUAAAAAAUAAAACGGUAAACCUAAAACACCUCAAAGCAGUUUUUGAGGUUUUGAUUUUUUUUUUUAAAAAGAAAAAACCCUAUCAAAGCGUAUCAUCGAUUGUUCUCCUUCAAAUUCAAUAUCUCAUCUUUCUUCCUCAAAUCAUUCUCAAGAUUCAAGGAGCAAGCAAUUGCAGAUAAGCCGGGAUGGGAAGCAGCGGUGGCGUGGACUCCGGAGGUCAAAAAUGCUACAAGCCAUGGGAGAGCAAGGAAAAUAUUUGCUACAAGUGCGGAACAAGCAGAAGGGUAUGCAGUCUGGUGGGAAAUUAAAGAGAACAUCAGCCAAUAUAAGAAUAUCUUUAAUCAGAUCAGAUUGUGAGAAUGUAGUGAAAGCGCUAAACUCGCCAGAAAUGUCGUCGGUGGAGCAAGUGUGGUCAUGGACAUCUUAGAUAUGAUAAGGAGCUUAGAUUAUUAUAUUUGCAUAAAGGUACGAAGAGAUUGUACUGUUUGGAUCAAGUAGGAGUUUUAUUUGUGAUCGAUUGUUCAUUUGCCCCUUAGGCAGUAUAUGCAAUCAAUAACUAUAGAUUCGAGAACCUAGUGACUCCUUCUGUAAGUCAACAAGAACUUCAAAGAAUGGCUCGGUUUCGAGAUUGUUUGGCAAAACUAUUGUGGGAAAGACAAAAUUCACAAUGAAAGUUAUCAAUGAGAAAUAAAUAUUACAUUGCGUUUGACUA